CCUACGGGGGGCAGCAGUAGGGAAUCUUUCACAAUGGGCGAAAGCCUGAUGGAGCAACGCCGCGUGCAGGAUGAAGGCCUUCGGGUUGUAAACUGCUUUUAUAAGCGAGAAAUAUGAUGGUAACUUAUGAAUAAGGAUCGGCUAACUACGUGCCAGCAGCCGCGGUCAUACGUAGGAUCCGAGCAUUAUCCGGAGUGACUGGGUGUAAAGAGUUGCGUAGGUGGCAUAAUAAGUAGCUAGUGAAAUCUGGUGGCUCAACCAUUCAGACUAUUAGCUAAACUGUUAAGCUCGAGACCGUUAGGGGUAACUGGAAUUUCUAGUGUAGGAGUGAAAUCCGUAGAGAUUAGAAGGAACACCAAUAGCGUAGGCAGGUUGCUGGGACGGUUCUGACACUAAGGCACGAAAGCGUAGGGAGCAAACGGGAUUAGAUACCCCUGUAGUC
rnacentral:rRNA from 1 species